CCUACGGGAGGCAGCAGUGAGGAAUAUUGGUCAAUGGUCGCGAGCCUGAACCAGCCAAGUAGCGUGAAGGAUGACUGCCCUACGGGUUGUAAACUUCUUUUAUCAAGGAAUAAAGUGAGGCACGUGUGCCUUUUUGUCUGUACUUUAUGCAUAAGGAUCGGCUAACUCCGUUCCAGCAGCCGCGUUAAUACGGAGGAUCCGAGCGUUAUCCGGAUUUAUUGGGUUUAAAGGGAGCGGAGAUGGGUUGUUAAGUCAGUUUUUAAAGUUUGCGGCUCAACCGUAAAAUUGCAAUUGAUACUGGCAGCCUUGAGUACAGUUGAGGUAGGCGGAAUUCGUGGUGUAGCGGUGAAAUGCUUAGAUAUCACGAAGAACUCCGAUUGCGAAGGCAGCUUACUAAACUGCCACUGACAUUGAUGCUCGAAAGUGUGGGUAUCAAACAGGAUUAGAUACCCUGGUAGUC
rnacentral:rRNA from 1 species